rnacentral:tRNA from 1 species
GGGGAUGUGGCUCAAGUGGUAGAGCGCUCACCUAGCACGUGUGAGGCACUGGGUUCGAUCCUCAGCACCACA